GCCGGGGUGGUGAAAUUGGUAGACACGCCGGAUUCAAAAUCCGGUGGCUUCGGUCGUGCCGGUUCGACUCCGGCCCUCGGUACCA
rnacentral:tRNA from 1 species